GGGCCGGGCCGCCUGAGGAACCGCAAAGGCGGCGGCGAGGAGGGCGGCUGAGGGGAGCGAGAAGGAGACGGAUGGGGGGCGGGGAGGGGACCGAGGGCCGCGCCGCCGGGCUUCGGGGACGGUGACCCUGGACGCGCAGGAGAGGCCCCGCGGCCUCGUCCGCCGACGCGAAGGCCCCUGCCCGAGGAAGCUGCGCCCCCGCAGCCGCUGAAGCCGCGGCUAUUACUCCGAGAGCCGCUCAGAGCCUGGCCUUGGCCUUGGCCUCCUGGCGCUGGGGCUGCCGCCGCUGCGGGGGUUGCUGCUGCGCCUGCUGCUGCCGGGGCCGAGAGUGCUGCACCGAGACGCCAGCUUUCGGUGCCUCCGCUCUCGCUCACACACGUUCACACCCCAGAGAGUCGGGGGAGAGGCGUCCGCGCGAUAUCGGUAUUGAGAUUAAUAACAAGGUGCGGAGAGUGCGAGAAGGAGGAGGGUUGAUUGACGUGGAGGGGCUGGCGAGAGUCAGUCACUCCCCCGCGCGGAGGGGUGGGGUGAGGGGGGAGGAGGCGGAGCUUCAGCACCGAGCCUUGGCCCCGCCCCCAGGGCGCCGCGUUUGGUCGUAGUGCGCGUGCGCGCGGGGCUGCCAGCUCUCUUGCCCAUUUCCUUCUUUACCCUUGCUGUUUUCUUACUCGUUUCUCUUGGCAUGAGUGAAGAGCCGAGCUGGGGAGGCUGGUCGGUUAUCAGAAAGACACAGCCGCAAAGCCACGGGGGGUGGCGGGAAGACAGUAGCGAUCCCGCCUCACCCAGUGUUCGCGCCGGGACUCGGCUCUGUUUCCUGCGCGCUCGCCUGAGGCGGCCUGACCGCGAAGCCCAGCCAGCGCUGCUCGAGGCGGCGAUUGGGACGCCAGGUUUCUCAAGAGGCGAUGUUUUUAUGCAGUAUGCAAACUGAACCACCCUAUUACCGUAUGCUGCAAUUAUCCAUGGUAACAUGAAGUUCUGUGUGGCAAGCAUGAGCUAGGGCUUGAAAAUCCGAGAAAGAUUCUAUGACAUCAACUCAGGCUUCACAUUGGUAUGUAAAUCUGUAGAUAAAGUUAUAGUCAGUUGCUAUAAGGAUAAUCUUUCAGAUGAGAAAUUUCCAUGAAUUUGCAAAUUUCCAAAAAAAAUACAGAUGUCCAAACUUUGAAUUUAUUUUUGUGUUUAUUAUUAUUUGUAUUGUCUACUUUGAAAUUAAAAUAUCAGCACAUUCAAUAGAGAAGUUGAAGUGCCUGAAAAAAAGACAGUGUAUUUACAUUUAUCAAGAUUUCACUACCUGCCACAUUACUCUGAAAGCAUGCAUAGUACCAUAA
rnacentral:lncRNA from 1 species